UUUGUUUUUUGUGGACCUCAGCCAAAGGGCCUCAUGGCGCCUUUUUUGUUUUCAUUUUUUCACAACAUGGGCAUAAUCUUAAGUCGUUUACACAUGGAACCCUAAAUCAAAGCAGCGUCGUCUAUUUCCUCCUCCGCUCAUUUGGUUCUGACCACCGUCACGGUUGGUUCUCAUUCUCUUCAUCAUUGAAUUUUAUUCAGGCCACCGUCAUAGUUGAUUUUCUGACGUCUCUUACUUUAUUGUUGUCAUUUGGGGGUUACUGGUGUUGAAGUCAUUUACCCAUCAAGGGUUUUAAAACUUUUUAGAAUCAACCUACAUCUAACAAUAGGAAGAGUGAAUUAGAUGCAUAUCUUGAAGAAAAGUCAAUUGAAGUUGAUGAAGAACACUAUGAAGAUUUUAAGGUACUUCUUUACUGGAAGGUUAAUGAGAAAAAAGUAUCAUGUACUCUCCUUAAUGGCACGAGAUGUGCUAAGUAUUCUUAUCACUACAGUAGCAUUAGGGUGUUCUUUUAGUAUUGGUGCAUGUGUUCUCACCAAAUACAAAAGUUUCACUCUUCCUGAUCACAUCCAAAUGUUGAUUUGCACUCGAAAUUGGUUACCUGGAUUUUCUGAAAAUUUGAAUGAUGAGGAUGAAUACAAUGAUUCUAUUUGUGAGGAUGAAUCUAAUAAUACUAUCCUUGACUCAUGAGCGUUUGGAUGGAAAGGCACUUCUCCAUUUCAAUUGGUUUUAUUUGUUAGAUGUGUCUACAAAGCCUAUUGGCUCUUGCUCUUUAUAAUAGACGUUUGCAUGAUUAAUUGUUAUAUUUGAAACUGUUUGUCCAUAUAUACCUUUGAAUGUUUGUUAUGUUUUUAUCCAUCACUUUGGUGACAUAGUAUUAUUGUAUGAGAAUCCAUAAAUCAACUAGUGAUGGUGAGUUUAUUUGUUUGUAUAAUUCCCCUCGUAAACACUAAAACAUACUAUUUUGUCUAGUGAAAACUCAAACUUGUAUGGAGUAUUUGUUGUCA